rnacentral:rRNA from 1 species
AGAACGAACGCUGGCGGCAUGCCUAACACAUGCAAGUCGAACGCGUGUAGCGAUACACGAGUGGCGGACGGGUGAGUAACGCGUGGGAACCUGCCCUGGAGUGUGGGAUAACCGAGGGAAACUUCGGCUAAUACCGCAUACGACCUGAGGGUGAAAGAUUUAUCGCUCUAGGAGGGGCCCGCGUCGGAUUAGCUAGUUGGUGGGGUAAAGGCCUACCAAGGCAGUGAUCCGUAGCUGGUCUGAGAGGAUGAUCAGCCACACUGGGACUGAGACACGGCCCAGACUCCUACGGGAGGCAGCAGUGGGGAAUAUUGGACAAUGGGGGCAACCCUGAUCCAGCAAUGCCGCGUGAGUGAUGAAGGCCUUAGGGUUGUAAAGCUCUUUCGCGCGCGACGAUGAUGACGGUAGCGCGAGAAGAAGCCCCGGCUAACUUCGUGCCAGCAGCCGC